rnacentral:rRNA from 1 species
UACGUAGGGUGCGAGCGUUGUCCGGAAUUAUUGGGCGUAAAGAGCUCGUAGGCGGUUUGUUGCGUCUAUCGUGAAAACCUGCAGCUUAACUGUGGGCUUGCGGUGGAUACGGGCAGGCUAGAGGCUGGUAGGGGCAAGCGGAAUUCCUGGUGUAGCGGUGAAAUGCGCAGAUAUCAGGAGGAACACCGGUGGCGAAGGCGGCUUGCUGGGCCAGUUCUGACGCUGAGGAGCGAAAGCGUGGGGAGCAAACAGG